rnacentral:rRNA from 1 species
UACGUAGGGUGCGAGCGUUAAUCGGAAUUACUGGGCGUAAAGCGUGCGCAGGCUGUUCUGUAAGUCAGAUGUGAAAUCCCCGAGCUCAACUUGGGAACUGCGUUUGAAACUACAGGACUAGAAUAUGUCAGAGGGGGGGUAGAAUUCCACGUGUAGCAGUGAAAUGCGUAGAGAUGGUGGAGGAAUACCAAUGGCGAAGGCAGCCCCCUGGGCCAAUACUGACGCUCAUGCACGAAAGCGUGGGGAGCAAACAGG